rnacentral:rRNA from 1 species
UACGGAGGGAGCUAGCGUUGUUCGGAAUUACUGGGCGUAAAGCGCGCGUAGGCGGCUUUGUAAGUUAGAGGUGAAAGCCCGGAGCUCAACUCCGGAACUGCCUUUUAAGACUGCAUCGCUUGAAUCCAGGAGAGGUGAGUGGAAUUCCGAGUGUAGAGGUGAAAUUCGUAGAUAUUCGGAAGGAACACCAGUGGCGAAGGCGGCUCACUGGCCCGGUACUGACGCUGAGAGUACGAAAGCGUGGGGAGCAACAGG